AAGUCGUAACAAGGUUUCCGUAGGUGAACCUGCGGAAGGAUCAUUAACACGUAUCCACGUUAUCAACCAAUUACCGCGAACGUUUCUCCCCUUACAACCGACCUCUUCGUGCUUCGCUCAGUCUUUAAUGGGUCAUACGCUUGCGUAUGACAUGGCCGAGUGAACGGUUCACCUCUUCGAGGUGAAGCGAAGUAACUGGAUGUUUGGGCUUUCCUUUCACUCUAUUCACCCAACCAUUUUGGGCGAAUAGUUUGAUACCCAUACCAAUUUCACCCUAUUUUACCCAAUUGGCUAAUUCAACAUUUGAAGAGAGAAAUCUCUUUGAAUACUAAGAUUUAUCUUAACUAAGCACAACUCUUAGCAAUGGAUAUCUUGGUUCUC
rnacentral:misc_RNA from 1 species